rnacentral:rRNA from 1 species
CCUACGGGACGCAGCAGUGGGGAAUAUUGGACAAUGGGCGAAAGCCUGAUCCAGCCAUGCCGCGUGUGUGAAGAAGGCCUUCGGGUUGUAAAGCACUUUCAGUGGGGAAGAAAGCCUUGGGGCUAAUACCCUCGAGGAAGGACAUCACCCACAGAAGAAGCACCGGCUAACUCCGUGCCAGCAGCCGCGGUAAUACGGAGGGUGCGAGCGUUAAUCGGAAUUACUGGGCGUAAAGCGCGCGUAGGCGGUCUGAUAAGCCGGUUGUGAAAGCCCCGGGCUCAACCUGGGAACGGCAUCCGGAACUGUCAGGCUAGAGUGCAGGAGAGGAAGGUAGAAUUCCCGGUGUAGCGGUGAAAUGCGAAGAGAUCGGGAGGAAUACCAGUGGCGAAGGCGGCCUUCUGGACUGACACUGACGCUGAGGUGCGAAAGCGUGGGUAGCAAACAGGAUUAGAUACCCGUGUAGUC